GACCACGUAGCUCAGUUGGCAGAGCAUUGGACUAGUAUCCCAAAGGUCGCGGGUUCGACUCCCACCGUGACCA
rnacentral:tRNA from 1 species